AUACUUACCUGGACGGGGUCGACGGGCGAUCAUGAAGGUCCGUGGCCUAGAUCAACAGCUUCCAUUGCACUCUGGAGGCGCGUUGGUUUACCAUCUCCCCAAGUGGGAGAGUGGACGUCAUAAUUUGUGAUAGGGGGGGAUUCGCGCCUGCGCGGCCCCUGC